GACCCGUAAUCCGGGUUGCGGACAGUGUCUGGUGGGUAGUUUGACUGGGGCGGUCUCCUCCCAAAGAGUAACGGAGGAGCACGAAGGUUGGCUAAUCCUGGUCGGACAUCAGGAGGUUAGUGCAAUGGCAUAAGCCAGCUUGACUGCGAGCGUGACGGCGCGAGCAGGUGCGAAAGCAGGUCAUAGUGAUCCGGUGGUUCUGAAUGGAAGGGCCAUCGCUCAACGGAUAAAAGGUACUCCGGGGAUAACAGGCUGAUACCGCCCAAGAGUUCAUAUCGACGGCGGUGUUUGGCACCUCGAUGUCGGCUCAUCACAUCCUGGGGCUGAAGUAGGUCCCAAGGGUAUGGCUGUUCGCCAUUUAAAGUGGUACGCGAGCUGGGUUUAGAACGUCGUGAGACAGUUCGGUCCCUAUCUGCCGUGGGCGCUGGAGAAUUGAGGGGGGCUGCUCCUAGUACGAGAGGACCGGAGUGGACGCAUCACUGGUGUUCGGGUUGUCAUGCCAAUGGCACUGCCCGGUAGCUAAAUGCGGAAGAGAUAAGUGCUGAAAGCAUCUAAGCACGAAACUUGCCCCGAGAUGAGUUCUCCCUGAGACUUUAAGUCUCCUGAAGGAACGUUGAAGACGACGACGUUGAUAGGUCGGGUGUGUAAGCGCAGCGAUGCGUUGAGCUAACCGAUACUAAUGAACCGUGAGGCUUAACCUU
rnacentral:rRNA from 1 species